AUGAACGCUGGCGGCGUGCCUAAUACAUGCCAGUCGAGCGAACGGACGAGAAGCUUGCUUCUCUGAUGUUAGCGGCGGACGGGUGAGUAACACGUGGAUAACCUACCUAUAAGACUGGGAUAACUUCGGGAAACCGGAGCUAAUACCGGAUAAUAUUUUGAACCGCAUGGUUCAAAAGUGAAAGACGGUCUUGCUGUCACUUAUAGAUGGAUCCGCGCUGCAUUAGCUAGUUGGUAAGGUAACGGCUUACCAAGGCAACGAUGCAUAGCCGACCUGAGAGGGUGAUCGGCCACACUGGAACUGAGACACGGUCCAGACUCCUACGGGAGGCAGCAGUAGGGAAUCUUCCGCAAUGGGCGAAAGCCUGACGGAGCGACGCCGCGUGAGUGAUGAAGGUCUUCGGAUCGUAAAACUCUGUUAUUAGGGAAGAACAUAUGUGUAAGUAACUGUGCACAUCUUGACGGUACCUAAUCAGAAAGCCACGGCUAACUACGUG
rnacentral:rRNA from 1 species